rnacentral:miRNA from 1 species
CAUUUCUAAUAUAUGUGUAUGUAUGUGUGUAUGUGUGUAUGUGUGCUCACACACAUACACACACAC